rnacentral:rRNA from 1 species
GCAAGUCGAGCGGUAACAGAACUAGCUUGCUAGUUGCUGACGAGCGGCGGACGGGUGGGUAACGCGCAGGAAUCUACCCAGUAGCGGGGGAUAGCCCAGAGAAAUUUGGAUUAAUACCGCAUACGCCCUUCGGGGGAAAACAGUGGAUCUUCGACCCUUGUGCUAUUGGAUGAGCCUGCGUGAGAUUAGCUUGUUGGUGAGGUAAAAGCUCACCAAGGCGACGAUCUCUAGCUGGUCUGAGAGGAUGAUC